rnacentral:misc_RNA from 1 species
CCGAGUUUACAACUCCCAAACCCCUGUGAACAUACCUUUAUGUUGCCUCGGCGGAUCAGCCCGCUCCCGGUAAAACGGGACGGCCCGCCAGAGGACCCCUAAACUCUGUUUCUAUAUGUAACUUCUGAGUAAAACCAUAAAUAAAUCA